UUCAUCAGUUACAGCAUGUAUACCAGAACUAGUAAAUACACAAUUGGCUGGAAAAAGAGCAAUAUGGACUUGUAUAAUUAUAUAAAUGGGUAUGUUUAAUUGUUCAGAAUGCAAAGUUGCAGUAUGUAUUCACAUAGACAUAUAUAACGGAUAACAUAUUUUAACUGUUGAAUAAACAUUUGAGGGUGGGUUAGUGAUGUUUUCAUAACAAUAACAGGUACACUGGUCAUCUCUGGUCCCAGCCUAUGCUUAUUAACACUUGUCCACUGACACUCUGCUUCCUGGGCUCAGGUAAUGUCCAGCUACCUUUUAUUCUUAAUCUAUCCAGGUACAUGUAUUAAGAGGUCUGUCUCCAAUAAUCAAGCUAUGUUAUAGAACUGUGACCCUCUGGUAGGUACUGAAGAUAUUUCGGUCAGUUUUAGCAAACCAAAUAUAUUAAACUUAUGAAAUUACAUUUGAUUAUCUAAUGAAAAAUAUUAAUCAACAAUUGAUCCAUAUAAUGAAAAGACUUAAUUUAUCUUUGCAAGAAAUGUACAAAAAUAGGAAAAUGGACAGUUUAAAUUACAAUUGACCACUUGGGGAGUAUUGACCGGGACGGUUAAAACCACUAGUUAAAACCGGUUUUAACCGCCCGACCCUGCUAUGCCUCUAUGGUAUUCAGAGAUAGUUAAGUGAAUUUAUACAUUACUUGAUUCUCCUAACUACUACUUUAUGGCAUAAAUUGAAGAUUCAGUCCCUGGUGUUGCCUGUGUUGGAGAUCUUUUAUUUUGAAAACAAUAGUGCCAUAGCUAUAGUGCCACACAACCAAAGAAUGUAGUAAACAUACUACUACCUUUGCAUGUAUUAAUUAGCAAAUUAAGGUACUAGUAAAUAUAAAUGUAAGGAACAAAUGUCUAGGGUGUUUUUUAUCUAUUAAAAAGAUUGUAUCAAACUCUAAAUCUAAUAAGUAAAAUUUUGUAAUAUCCCAGCUUCAGGAAGUUUAUCCUAUCAUAAUGGAGGUGAUUAGCUACUUUGAACCUACUUUCAUGGAUCUACCAUAUUAUUUUUUUUUUACUAUAACAUUUGACUUUAUGUUACUUUUCAAAGAAGGUGUAAUUUAUAUGUAUAACGUGCAUCACAUGCAAUUUUAAUGAUGCAGGCAAAUAAUUUUGAUGCAAUUGAAAAGGCAAGCGUGAACUGUAGAUCUACCCAGAUUAGAUUCAAUAAGAAUUGAAGGUCAAAACCAUGGUGGUAACACAAAGCAUCUGCAUACAAGAUUUUUUAGGCUUGUUAAAUGGAAAAAUUAUAUGAAAAUAAUAGUCUCCAGUAAUAUCUACAUUUUAACUCAUAUGAGAAAUCUUAUAACAGUUUCAAUACUCAGAUCAUGAGAUGGAAACCAAUGUAAUUGAGACGAAAAGGGAGUACAACUCGAAAUAUCAAGAAAAAACAAGAAAGGCCAUUGUGAAUCAGCAGAUGAUGUCCUAUACAACCAUCCCUCCAUGACACAUGCAAUGGGAAGUUUAUUUCAGGAAACAAAGCCUGUCUGAAACUCCAAAAUGACAUUUCCAGAAAGCUGAAGAAUGGAUAAAAAUGUAUCUACCAUCUUACAACCCAUAUUUCAUUCCACUGAAAAGAAAAGGGACAGGAAAUGUUGCAUGUCCAUGUCUUGGAAGGUGAAUAGGUGGAAAGUCAAUAGAUGCUUACUAUAUCAGAUGCUUGCAGAGGAUACUGGGGAUAAAGUAGCAGAAAAUUAUGGAAAACAGGAAGUGGCAGCCAGGACUGACAUCAAUGCAAUAAACAAUGAGCUGAGGAGAUGGUGAUGGAACUAUAUAGGACACGUGCUGUAGAGGGGAGGUGACAAUGACAGUGAGAUGGCCUUAGGUUGGACACCAGAAGGGAAGAGGGCAUUUAAGAGACCGAAAACAACCUGGAGAGGAACAGUAGAAGCAGAAAGAAAGAUUGCAGAAUGAAGAAACUUGAAUGAGAUCAAGAUGGUAGCAAUAGAACAGAGUGGAUUGGAGAGAGUCUGGUCCUAUGUGUUUUGGCAUGGAGAGAACUAAGUAAUGUCUAGAUUAUUGGAGAUAGGAUGACCAGGAAUAUGAAUGGAUGUGCUGGAAACUGUACUAAGACCCUUAUGUAUUUGGAUAGAUUUACAUACCAUCAUGAUUUUGCUAUGAAAAACUUGAAAAAAAUUCUCAACUCAUAUUGUAGCUGACAUUGUACAUUUGUACUUAUUAAUAUUUCAAAUGAACAUAUUUUUAGACAUACAAUAUCUAAACUUUGGAGUCCACGUACAUCUCCACAUUGGAUAAUAGGUUAUGAUAUAUGUGUGUGAAAUCUUUUCCUAUGGUAUGCACAUGUUAACACAUUAGUUUAAAUGAUGAUCUAUAUCUUAUGACUAUGGAAGAGAAUGUGUUCAGAACAGAAUAUGUGUCUAGAAGAGUUGUUGCCCUUGAAUGUAAUUCAUUAUUUACAUGGGGUUGAAAAAUAAUCCAGCACACAGUAGUACUAAAUACAUUAUGUUAAAAUACAUUUAUGAAUGGUAUAAGUGAUACUGUUAAUUACUGAUUAAUACACUUUGUGAAAUCAUAUUAUUGUUAUGUUUAAUAAAUUUCAAGGCUGCA